rnacentral:rRNA from 1 species
GACGGAAGGUGCAAGCGUUGCUCGGAGUCACUGGGCGUAAAGGGUGCGUAGGCGGCCGUGCAAGUCUGGCGUGAAAGCCCCGGGCUCAGCCCGGGAAGUGCGCCCGAAACUGCGCGGCUCGAGUGCCGGAGGGGAGAGUGGAAUUCCUGGUGUAGCGGUGAAAUGCGUAGAUAUCAGGAGGAAUACCGGUGGCGAAAGCGACUCUCUGGACGGCAACUGACGCUGAGGCACGAAAGCGUGGGGAGCAAACAGG